CAAGGUGGGAAUGGGACCAGUUUGAACCGACGGAGAUUGAACGCAUUCUCGAGAUAGAACCCUUUGCCACGAGCCAGGAGAGUCCCUGCAUCAUCCUUGCACAAGAAGGUAAUCUUUCAUAAGUAAAUGGAUGGGAAAAAAAACGAAAAAACAAAACUGGAUUCGAGAAAGUUCUGUUGAUAAUUAAGAUGGUAAAUCAGGUCAGGCCCCCCGAUUGACUGUCGCUAAAACAUUUUAGUCCAAAAAGUUUACACUCCAUCCUCAUUUCGAUGAUCGCUUUAUGUUUAAUCCGUAGCUUGUUUGCAGCCGUAUAUACGGGUAAAACACGUGUACCUGCGUACAGGCACUAAAGGUACGGGCGAAAUAUUAAAAUGGCAUCAAAUAACGGAUCGGAAGUUAAGUUCCCCUCUAAAUGCAUGAGAUGUAGUAAAUAUGAGAUAAUUUAAAAUAAGAUAAUCUCGCAAGCAGCUUGUUAUUCCAAGUAGCUUUGGAGGCCGCUUAGAGGAAGCCCCCUCUCUUGCUUCUUGUAGCUUGUGUUGGCCUUUGCUUGCUAGAUUUUCCGUAGAUUCAACCUCGCACACGUUCAACAUGAUCUUCAAUGUUGCAGCGGUGUGGAGGCAUUAUGAACUUAGGCUAUGAUACUAAUUGAUGCCAAGAGCUGUAGAACUUGCGUUUAAAAUAACAGAAAUGGAAAGGAUGCCUACAGAACUAAUUGUACAAAGGCAGAAACCCCGCUAUGCAUGUGCGACAUAAGAUGUUGGAGCCUAAAUGGCGGUAGUGGCAAAUCUAUAAACCAAUUAGCUUUCGACGAAGCUGGUGUUGGGAAACCAUACAUGCCGCAGAAAAUUAAAACUGUAGUGGAAGAUGCAUGCACGGUUCAUUCAUCACAUGAACGUAUUUUAAAAUUGUUUGUAAAUAGAUUAAGAUUAAAUAUUUUAGAGAAAAAGAUCUGAUCUUCACCUUAUGCGGGUAGAUGUUUACCGCAAUCUAAUGAUCGUGGUAAUAUUGAAAGGCUCGCUUGAAGCCGCACAUGUGUCUGGCCUCUACGGAUAUCCACAUGAGGUAGAGGACCAAUCCAAGCGUCUGAAUCUCUCCGGGGUGCUAGCUCUUUUGCAGAGAUUGCUUUUGAUGGCUACAAUUCUCUCUUUCAAUCAACUCUUGAUUUUUUAUGAGAGGAAGAUAAAGGAUGAAGGAGGAAGAAAGGCCAUGCCUCUCUUUUUCUUUUCCUUGCAGUGGAACUAGAGGAAGGGGAGAAGGAGGUUCAGCCGCCCCUAAUAUUUUCUUCUUUUCUUAUGUGCGGAAGAAGAGAAAGGGGAGAGGGGGCUGCCGCACUUGAGGAGAGAAUAAGAGGGGGGCCGCACGCCCUCCUCUUCUUUUAGGAGCUCACGCAUGCCUAG
rnacentral:lncRNA from 1 species